rnacentral:rRNA from 1 species
UACGUAGGGUGCAAGCGUUAAUCGGAAUUACUGGGCGUAAAGCGUGCGCAGGCGGUUUUGUAAGUCAGAUGUGAAAAUCCCCCGGGCUUAACCUGGGAACUGCGUUUGAAACUACAAGGCUAGAGUGUGGCAGAGGGGGGUGGAAUUCCACGUGUAGCAGUGAAAUGCGUAGAGAUGUGGAGGAACACCGAUGGCGAAGGCAGCCCCCCUGGGUUAACACUGACGCUCAGGCACGAAAGCGUGGGGAGCGAACAGG